CCCACAAACCGUUUACAUGAAAAACUUCCUUGUAUGGCUCCAUGACUCAUCAGCCUCAUCAAAGCCUGCGCUGGAUGACACACGAACGCUCGGGUCCCCCCUUCCUUGCCCAAAGAAACGAUGACAACCCACAAACGCCACUUCUUCCUUCGCAGUUUGGGAAGCCACUGUAAUGCGUCAUUUCUGAGGCUCAGGAAAGACCUUUACCCAGAAGGUGGGGGUGGGGGUGUCUUGAAUGUCCCAAAGCCCAAGGCUGGCCCUUAUGUAGAGUUGAGGAAGCCCUGGCCAGGGACAGGGGAGUGCAAGGGAAGGCUCGGUGACCCAGGCACAUGGUGCAAACCUAGGACCUCCACCUCCCAGCUCUGUAGCCAGGGGCAGCUCACUCCACCCUGGUCCCUGGAGUGUGCUUACAGGCUUCCGUGUUGGGGGGCUGCGAGGCCUGGGCAGCAAACCGCCUUGUACUGCCUCUGGCCUGUGGAUAGUAGAUGCUCAAUAAACCUCUCCUUCCUGUCAGAAACUCAGUCUCCCUAUGUGGAUGACAGCAUUUUCCUAAAGGAUCUAAAGUUCCAUCCACCUUAAACUCUGCCUGAAGGGAAGACUAUGAAACUAGAAAAGAAAAUGGUGUGGAUUUGUGUGCUACUGCAGACACUGCUGCGACAUAUAUUAAGGAGCAUGGAACGGAACCGCGUGGAUGAUAAAGUCUGCGUGGUGUUUACAAAGGAAUAUUCAUAAGCACUUUCUGAGAAGCCCCGUGCAGCUGCUAACAGUGACUGCCUAGGGGAAAAUGGACUUGAAGGAGUAGAGGCCAACUUUUCAUUUUAUACCUUUCUAUACUUUUUAGGACUACCACCUAUGUACGUGCAUUUUAUUUUUGUUAAAUGUUCGCAGGGGAUAUCUGGCAGGACAAGGAACUGGCUGGAAAGGGGCGCGAGGAGAUCUUCUGGGUGACGGAGAUCCAGGUGGUGGUUACUCAGAUGUAUUUUAUCCUUCAAUGAGAAGUUUAUUUCGAAAACGUCCUGUGUCUCUUCCAAAGAUAGCUCCAGCUGGGCAAAGUGGCAGCUCUGUGGGCUCCAACGGAAGAGGCCAAAAGGCCCAUCCUCCUCCUGUCCCCUGGGUUCAAUUCACAGCCCUGCCUGUCUCUAGCUGUGUGAUCCUGGACGUGCCUCUCUGCUUCCUCAGCUCCUGCUUCAAGACAGGCCUAACCAAAUUUUGAGAAGUCCCCAGCAGAGCUCCCGACCCUAGUAGAUCAGAGAAGAAGAAUGAAUGUUCUGAGUGGGUACCACAUGGCAGGUGCUAUUCUAAAUACUGAACAGCUGUGAACCCAUUUAAUCCCCGUAAGAAACUGGUGAGCUUGGUUUCAUUUGACUCAAGAGGCCCAGAGACGAAAGCAACUGGUCCAGGGUCACACAGCCAGCAGGAAGUGGAUCAGGGUUGGAACCUGGGCAGUCUGGCCCUGAAGCGCUGCAGAAAGUAUUAUUUUGGGAGCAAAUAGGUAAUAGGUGGUGAGAGCCACCUAAAAAUACCCCUCCUCUCUGGCCCAGUAACCACUUCUAGAAAUCUGCCCUAAACAAGUAACUCAAAUAAAGCGAAAGCUGAGAUACACGACGGUCAUGGCUGCGUUAUCUAUAACUGAGGAAAGCUGGGAACGACCCGAAGGGCAACCACAGCAGAGGCCUUUGGUAAAUGGCCCCAGCCUCUUCACGGACGAUUCUGCAGCCAUUAGGAAGCCUCCCUUGGGCGCUGUGGCACGGCACUGGGAUGUCUGAGCUGCCAUGCCUUGGCGAGGCUCACAGGACUGUCCAUGUGCCUGGCCACAGCUGCUAAAAUGGCUGCGUGAAGAUGGACGCAGCCUCGGAGGAGAACUGCAAGGUCAUAACUGGCAGGAGCUGGGGGUGCUGACCUUGAAGUGAUCGUAAAAAGGUCGAAAAGGAGACAGAGAGGGAGGAAGGUGGCCAAGACGGGGUUAGACGGGCAAACGGAGGUGGGGUGGGGUUCAAGGGCAACGUCUUCCCUCAAGACCAAGGGAUGAGCUGGGCUAGAGGGGACAGGCCCAGCCAGGAGCCACCUCGGAGGGUCACUGUAUAGAGUGAGGGAGUCAGGUGCAAGGCCAGAUCUGGGCUUCCAAACCUCAAGUUUAAAGUCAGGGGACACAGCGACCAGUGUGUUUGGGGAAGAUGUGGAAGCGGGUCAGUCCUGAGUGUGACACCGGGCCUGGGAGAGGUGGUCUGACAGCGGCUGUGCUGAUGACGUGCAAGACAGGAUGAGGCAAUCAGCCCUUCUGCGUGAGAAACAGGGGCCUGCCUAGUCAGACGUCAAUUCACAUUAUCUUUUUUUUUUUUUUUUUUUUUUUUUUUUUUUUAAGCACAGUUUCACUCUGUCACCCAGGCUGGAGUAUAGUGGCACCAUCUCGGCUCACUGCAACCUCCGCCUCCCGGGUUCAAGCGAUUCUCAUGCUUCAGCCUCCUGAGUAGCUGGGACUAUAGGCCUGAGCCACCACGCCCAGCUAAUUUUUGUAUUUUUAGUAGAGACAGGGUUUCCCCAUGUUGGCCAGGCUGGUCUCGAACUCCUGACCUCAAGUGAUCCUCCCGCCUCGGCCUCCGAAAGUGCUGGGAUUACAGGUAUGAGCCAUCACGCGCAGCCAAUUCACAUAACCCUAGUGGUGAUGGGAGACUUAGGGAAAAGUGGAAAGCUCUCACGCAAGCCUCAGGCACCAGCAACACCCAGGCUCUACCCAGAUGUGCCACGAGAACAGGUGGGAGCCGGGGCACUGCUCCCAAGUGCACAUCAGGUGUGAGAAGUGUCUGGGUAGCGUGUGUCUGUGUACAUGCAUGCAUGUACAGUUGGGAGCCACACUCCCGGUGGCUGAAGUCCCAGGUUCUGGACUCACUCAGACUUCUGUUCAAAUCCCAUCUAAGCCAUUGAACAGCUGUGUGACCUUGAGUGAGUGAUUUAACCUCAGCCUCAGUUUCCACAUCAGUAAAAAGGGAGAAGAGGAGGAACAGGCACCUCCUCAGGGCUGUAAGGAUUCACCAAGGUGAGUAAGUGAGGCACUGGCACAUGCAUGGGACAGGAGUUAAGUGUCCAUCAUGGCUCGAGGACCAGCUGCAGCCUUGUGCUAAGGCCUUGGGGUGCAACUGGGGGCUCGGCUUGGGCUGGAUGACGACUUGGGGGAUGUGAGCUUGGGAAGGGAUUUGCAGCCUGGUGGAGAAAGCGCCUGGGGCCACAUCUCUAGGACACUAGGAGUGGCUCUUCCCCAGGGAGGCUCCCAUGACCAGGAGGCGACCCAGGGGAGGUGGGCUCCGGGAGCAAGGUCAGAGCCAGGGGUGACAGCCCCUACUGGAGGCCCGGUCCAGAGCCUCAGGAUUUCCC
rnacentral:lncRNA from 10 species